CUUCAACGAUCCCAGCCACAGCGGGCGAUCCGCAUCCCGGUCCUGCCCGUAGGUGGCCAGCAGCGCUUGGGCCUC
rnacentral:antisense_RNA from 1 species